AUUGUUAUGAUCUUAUCUCAUGUUGAUUAUAAUGUCAACCUCUAAAUAUAAGUAAACUUCAUGCGUAAAUAUCAAUUGCAUUUGAUAUUUUGAUAGAAAAUAAACAAUAAGCUACAAAAAUGAGCGGAAAUAAAGUCGUGAAGUUCUUCCAAAAAAAUGUAGUUAUGAUAUCCGGCAUUGGCAUCAUCAUUGCAACGCAUUGGGGUUGGUCUCAGCUGCAACAUAAUCCCAACCUAGUGCCAGAAGAUAAAAGAAAGGAAUUACCAAUAAUUAUUGGGUUGAAACAUCUAUCAAAUGAAGCAAUGGAAAUAAUAAAGUCAUUUUCUUCAAGUGAGACAAGUGGCAAAGCAGUUGAAAAAAAAUGAAUGAACAAAUGCAAUAGUAGCAUAUAGAAUUUGUGACAAUGUAAAUACAAUUAAACUAUUAAUUAUUUGUUAUGUAUUAAUAUAGAUUAGAAUAUUGUAAACAAAUACAAGAAGUACCGGCCAAUUUGAGUGGUGCAACCGGCAUAACUUGUUAGUGUGGUUGCAUAGGUUCUUCUGACAAACGCAUAUUUCAAUGUCAUUGCUAAACAUGCAACCAGUGCGUACAACUUUCAUGUUUAAAUCGUGACUUCCACAUCCUCUUUCUGUGAUCCUUGCUGUUUUCGAUUUGGAAGUGACCACGACCACAGAAUCUCCCACUCAUCAAAUUAUUGGGUCCACAGCAGUUUAACAUACCCUUGCAGAAUAAUAGCAGCAGUGUUAAUGUAACAUUGGCUGGGAAUGUGGUUCGUCACACUUGCGGGUUCACCAUACUUUAAUUUCACUUCUUGGAGGAUGCAAUAGAAAAUGAAGUAGCAGAUGUAGCAAGAAGUAAACAGAAAUAGCUUUAUAUGCCUUGACAUUCUGUUCCUGGAGGAUUGUUGAUUACCUUGUUCGAAAAGGUUUAAGUUUGGCAUUCUCCAAAAAGAUGAAAGACUGAUGUGAAGCAUAGAAAAUGCAUAAGGAGACUUAACAUAGAAGAAAAUGGGAGAAGGAAAAUUUCAUGAGGUGUCCUGACAGUCAUGUGAAACCAGCUCCAAAAUCCACACGUUUAUUCAGUACAAUCCUUCUCAAUGGGGGCUUCGCAAUACUGAUAGUGACCGCGUGUUGCCGACGUUAGCUGUGUGCAGAUCAGGGCACAUUCAGUGUAAUUUCGGUCACAGGGUGUACCGCGCGUGUUCAUCGCGAUUUAUUUUGUUUCUUCAGAACAUAAUUAAGUACAUCGAUUGUUAUUAAAUAAAGAAUAGGCGACAUGAACCGGAGUCGGGCGUGAUCGAGGUUUCACAAGUGCGAUGGGAUGAGUUGUAUUUUUUGAUAUUCAGUUCACGCGUGUGUGGUUCCGUCGGCUGACAGUUAUCUUCUCACAUCUAGCAAUAACUUGUAUUAAAAUAAGUUCCUGCAAAUAGACCACGAACCAUGGAGUUUACAAUAUGACGGUAGUAUUGGAGAUGUGCGUAUUUUAAGGCAAGUCUUUACUGCUGCGGGAUUUGAUAGUCGUCAAUAUUUCUUUAUUUAAAAAAUGAAUAUAUUGUUAAAUAUAAUUAAUAAAACACUAUUUAAAAUUUCAA